rfam:Triticum aestivum genome assembly, contig: Triticum_aestivum_CS42_TGACv1_scaffold_129785_2BL
AAUAUACUCCCUCCGUAUGGAAAUACUUGUCUUAGAGAUGAUUGUAUCUAGACUUAUUUUAGUUAUAGAUACAUCCCUUUUAUCCAUUUCUAAGACAAGUAUUUGCGAAUGGAGGGAAUACUCA